GCGGACAGAUGGGAGCUUGCUCCCUGAUGUUAGCGGCGGACGGGUGAGUAACACGUGGGUAACCUGCCUGUAAGACUGGGAUAACUCCGGGAAACCGGGGCUAAUACCGGAUGGUUGUUUGAACCGCAUGGUUCAAACAUAAAAGGUGGCUUCGGCUACCACUUACAGAUGGACCCGCCCCGCAUUAGCUAGUUGGUGAGGUAACGGCUCACCAAGGCAACGAUGCGUAGCCGACCUGAGAGGGUGAUCGGCCACACUGGGACUGAGACACGGCCCAGACUCCUACGGGAGGCAGCAGUAGGGAAUCUUCCGCAAUGGACGAAAGUCUGACGGAGCAACGCCGCGUGAGUGAUGAAGGUUUUCGGAUCGUAAAGCUCUGUUGUUAGGGAAGAACAAGUACCGUUCGAAUAGGGCGGUACCUUGACGGUACCUAACCAGAAAGCCACGGCUAACUACGUGCCAGCAGCCGCGGUAAUACGUAGGUGGCAAGCGUUGUCCGGAAUUAUUGGGCGUAAAGGGCUCGCAGGCGGUUUCUUAAGUCUGAUGUGAAAGCCCCCGGCUCCACCGGGGAGGGUCAUUGGAAACUGGGGAACUUGAGUGCAAAAAAAGAAAGUGGAAUUCCACGUGAAACCGUGAAAAUGCGUAGAGAAUGUGGAGGAACACCAGUGGGCAAGGCGACUCUCUGG
rnacentral:rRNA from 1 species